rnacentral:rRNA from 1 species
UACGGGGGGAGCAAGCGUUGUUCGGAUUUACUGGGCGUAAAGGCGCGUAGGCGGCCACCGCAAGUCAAUUGUGAAAUCUCCCGGGCUUAACUCGGAAAGGUCAACUGAUACUGCGGGGCUAGAGUGCGGAAGGGGCAACUGGAAUUCUCGGUGUAGCGGUGAAAUGCGCCAGAUAUCAGGAGGAACACCAAUGGCGAAGGCAGCUCGCUGGGACGGUACUGACGCUGAGACGCGAAAGCGUGGGAGCAACAGG